AUUACUUCCACAUUGUUCACAAUUUCUUUUUUUUUUUGGUCUAGGAAGAAAUCUCUCGAUCGACUCCUCGAGGAUUUGCAAAAACGGAAAAUCCGAUUAUGAUCUUUGAUUCGUUGAUUCCGCCUGAUACACGAUGUGAUUAGUUGGGUUUCUCACUCGUCGUCGCCAAGAUGACAGUAUCGCUUGGAGGAAGAAACUCACCUGCCUUUCUUUUUCCGCCAGAGCUGCUGCUUUUACAUUCCUGGAAGCUUACUCCGCGUGAGACCAUCGUCGCCAAGGUAAAUGCUCUGUCUAUGACUCAAAACUUUUGACUUUGUCCUCGUUUGAAUUCCAUCCUCAAAGAACAGAGAUUCGAAACACAUUAGUUCAGUUCUAAUCGAUGACAUAGCAUUUUUGAAAUCCAAAAAGAUCAUUGGCAAGCACUAAUCUAAUAGUGUUCUGUCAGAUUUUUAUUUGGGUACAUUGUCCCGUAAGGAAUCUUUUGGUUGGUAAUGUAUCUCCAAAGAAGAAUGUUAAUGGCGAUGGCAUAUAAGACUCAGAUUCUGUUGGUUGGUAGUGCAUGCUUAAUAGUCUUAAGACAAAGACUAUAUGGGGAUAUAUGAGAGGAAAAUGACCCACGGCUUAGUAAAGUUCCGAUGGCUUAAAUAAGACUCGUUGGAUUGGAAAAAUGACCCACGGCUUAAAGAUGUCUUAAGACAAAGACUCUAAACCACAAAGUGGUACAUUGUCCCGUAAAGAAUAUUUUGGUUGGUAGUGCAUGCUCAAUAGUCUUAAGACAAAGACUCUAUACCACAAAGUGGUACACUGUCCCGUAAGGUAUAUUUUGGUUGGUAGUGCAUGCUCAAUAGUCAGAAGACAAAGACUCUAAAUCACAAAGUGGUACAUUGCUCCGUAAGGUAUAUUUUGGUUGGUAGUGCAGCUCAAUAGUCUUAAGACAAAGACUGUAUGGGGAUGAGAGAAAAAUGACCCACGGCUUAGUAAAAGUUCCUGGAUGGAAAAAUGACCAAUAGCUUAAAGAUGUCUUAAGACAAAGACUCUAAACCACAAAGUUGGAUGGGUUUUGUUAGAUGGAAAUAAAAAAAUGACCAACAGCUGAAUAAGCUUGAGAAAAAGUCUGAAACAAAAGUCUUUUACACAAAAGACAAUAUGGGGUUGCUUAGAAAAGAGUCCUUGGUGGAAUAAAAGAGUUCAAACAGUACAAACGUCUCUUGCCAAAGACAAAAGAGGUCAGGUAUUUAGAUAUGCUGAAUGGAAAAAAAAAGACCAGUGCCUCAGAACACAAAAGGUUCGUAGAUGGAAAAAAAGACAGGCAAAAGAGGGGAAAAUUAAAAAAACGACCAAUGGCUUGAUGAAGUCUUGAAAGACUAUGUCUGCUUGUCAAAUACAAGGCUUAAAAACUAUACAAAGACACUAUGAGUUGGAUGGGUAAUGAACAACUCUUAAGACAACAAAAGGAUGAACAUAAAAGACUAAAUCGAAAACAGUUUCUGCUUUGUUAAAAGUCGAGACAAAUAGUAUGAGUUGGUUUGUAAUUUGGCGGAUGGAAAGGAUGAACAUUUAGUGUCCUUAAUACAGAGCUGAUACAAAAAACAACUAAUGUCUUUGGAAAGUCUUUUGAUAAAGGCUGCUAAGGACUUAACGAAUCAUAACACAAAGAUUCUAAACAAGGAUUAUGAAUUGAAAAGAGAUUCUUUACUCUAGAUAAAGACAAUAUGGGUCCGUCAGUUUUCAGAUAUGAUGGGAACAUUGGCCAGCGGUUUAGAAAAAAAAGGUCAUUAGAUGAACAAAAACGACUAAUGGCUAAGAGAAUACUUGUUGGAUGAAGAAAAUGGAUGACAAACAACUUCAAGAAGUCAUAAGAGAAGACUUGUUGGAUAGUAAAACAACUUACACUUGCUGUAUAAAAUGAUGCCCAAACGGCUUAAAGAAACCAACUGCUUAGACAUUCUUGACAAUGACUAUGAAUCAAACACAGAUUCAUAUUUGACCACACAGCUUAGAAGUUUCUUGAGAAAGUCUAUGCCAUGGAUUGGCUUGCUGUAUUGAUAAAAGACCAACGGCUUUAAAAGUUCAUAAGGCAAAGUUUCUUGACAAUUACAACGGGGUUUUACGAAACCACAUGGCUUAGGAGUCUUCUGCAAAAGACUAUGGCUUGGUUUUGGUAUUAUAACCAAUUACUUUAAAAUGUCUCUAGGGAAAGACUAUAGAUGGAAAAACAAAACCACGGCUCAAAUGAAAUAAAAUCUCUCAUGACUGCAAACUACGGAUGGAGAACUGAUUCUUUACUCUGGCAGACAACUUCAAAUAGAAAGUCUCUCAACACACAGACUAUGAACCAUAAGGUUUAAAGAAUUGUUUCUAAAAGACUAUUACGCUGGAUGGAAAUAAUGACCAAUUCAUACUCUGAAAUCAGUCUUAAACAGAGACUACCAAUGGCUUAAAGAAUUAAAAGAGAUUCUUACUUAACAGCUUAAAUAGGCUUGUUGGAUGUGGGCAAAACACGACUUAAAGAUGUCCUAAGACAGUCUCCAAAGAUACAGGGACCUCAUCAUUGACUCGUUUGUUUCGCAUUGACUCGUUCAAGUCUAGCAUGUUGAACGGUUCUGAAGACUAUCUCGAUUCCGGUGGUGGAUGAGAUUGUUCUUCCUGAUGUGGCGAUUCCAUCAUCUAAGGUACCAAACUAUAACUGGGAACCAAGCCUUCCAUUUCAGAACAUCUCAGUUGGUACUUGUGCAGAUUACUACUCUGUGUUUGGUUGUGGUGAAUUGGGUGAAAGAGUUGAGUUGUUUAGAAGACCAACAGAUGUCACUAGUAGGCGUUUUGCACACCAUGGAUUCGAUAAAAUGCUUCUGAACUUGAGAAGAGAUAAGCUACAAAAUUGUAGCAGAGAAAAAUACAUAAAUCUUGGAGGUUUAAGUUCAAAUGCAGACUUGGAUAUCCGCUAAUACUGCGUUAUGGUUUGUAGACAAGUCAAGCUCUGAGAUAGAGGAUGGGCAGAGAGAUGAUUUAGGGGAGAAGCAUAAAUGGAGAUAUAAGCAACCAUGUUUUGUUUCAGAUGGGAUUUUCUGUACGGACAGUGUGGUAUUCAUCAUCAGUUCAGUUGUGACGUUGGUAGAGUUACAAUGAUCAGAAAUUAUCACUGUCACCACACUAUCUUGAUGUAUCAAUGGGAACUACUAGAGCUGAUUAACAGAGUUUUGUUUUGGCUACAAUUCUCACGGUUUGCAGAGUUGAAACAUGCCUUCGUGAAGACAUAUAUAAUUCGAAUUCAUGAAGAACAUGGCUUUGCUGAGUGGGCAUGUGCUCCUCUGUUUCACCGGGUGGCAGCUUGGACCAUGAACCAGAUUAUAGAGUGGUGGUCUCGGAUUGUUAACUGGAAUAAAAAGGGUGCAGCGCCACAAAGUCUGGUGCUGGCUACUCAGCAAGAACAGUGAGAUUGAGGGAGAACUUGAGUCUUACCAGCUUCGAGUUGGACACACAGCUCAGAACAGAUACAGAAUGAAGAAUGUGAAGUUGAUUGAUCAUCCUACAGUUAAACUGGAUAGCCUCGUUCAUAAUGAGUUUGCUUCAUGGAUUCACAUGUCGUUAGACCAAUUCAGACGUUUGUUUGGUUCUAUUGGUAAGAUGAGGAUGGGGACAUGGCUGGGAGUCGCUUAUGUUUUUGUUGACUGUUUGAAACGCAGAGUUUCAGUGAUAGCCGCAAGGCUAUGCACAGCGUUGCAGGGAGCAGGGUGGGAUCCUGAAUUUAUGACACAAGAUAUCAUACUGGACAGCCAGGAUACUCAAUCGGUGGGAAAAGAGGCCAGCGAUGAUAUGAUCAUCGAAAGGGGGGGUAUUGAUAUGAUCAUGGAAGCAAAUGACAUGUCACUGGAGAAACUUAUGAGCUGUCAUCUGCCAAAGGAGAAAAGCAUAUACGGUUACACAAGGGAGAGUAUAAAUAGAAGAGAGUAUUGUAAUUGAGAGUUAGUUGGUUAGUUGGAGCCUUGUGGCUUGGGCUUGCUUCUCUUGGAGAGCAAAAUAGCUUUCUCUUGUACUUUCCUUUGUAAUCUCUCUGUUCUUGAUAAGUAAGUGACUUGGAUCUUAUCAGAUAGAUGUAUAGACCAAUUGUCUGACAUCAGUAAUAAGAUAGAGCUCAAAGAAAAAACUGCCAUGGCUUUGGAAUGUCUCUAGACAAAGACAACCUACAGCUUAAAAAUGUCCCACAGCUAAGAAAUUCUAAGACAAAGACUUGUUGGAUGGUAAAAACAUUUCUGUUGAGAAAGUCGAUACUAUAUAGACUUGUUGGAUAGAGAAAAAAAACUUAAGGACUUGUUGUAUUGAUGAAACACCAACGGCUUUAAAAGUCAAACGGCAAAGAUUCUUGACAGUACGAAUCUACAACAGAGUUCAAUGUAACAACAUGGCUUAAAAGUCUUUUCAAAAAGAAUAUGGGUCUGUUUUGGUAAAAUGGCCAACGGCUUAAAAAGGUCUCAAGACAAAGACUAUGAACAACAAGGUUUAAAAGUAUACAAGGACUAUAAGUUAGAUGGAUAGAACCACCAACUUUUAAAACAAAGACAGUAGAAGAAUAACCAAUUCAUAGUCUAAAAUCAGUGUUUAGACAGAGACUACAUACCAAUCUUGAGAAAGAAGCAUAGCACAAAGAUUAUUAUCAAGUAUUAUGAAUCUAAAAGAGAGUCUUCAGGUAUAUGCUUCAGAAGUAAAGACUAAU